CCGGGGCUUCUUCUGCGGGUACCGUCAUUAUCUUCCCCGCUGAAAGGGGUUUACAACCCUAGGGCCUUCUUCACCCACGCGACAUGGCUGGAUCAGGCUUUCGCCCAUUGUCCAAUAUUCCCCA
rnacentral:rRNA from 1 species